rnacentral:rRNA from 1 species
AAUGGGCGAAAGCCUGACCCAGCAACGCCGCGUGAAGGAUGAAAUCCCUCGGGAUGUAAACUUCGCAAGAACGGGAAGAAUAAGUAGGGGACAAUACCCCCUAUGAUGACGGUACCGUUUGUAAGCUCCGGCUAACUCCGUGCCAGCAGCCGCGGUAAUACGGGGGGAGCAAGCGUUGUUCGGAUUUACUGGGCGUAAAGGGCGCGUAGGCGGUCAGCACAAGUCAAUUGUGAAAUCUCCGAGCUUAACUCGGAAAGGUCAACUGAAACUGUGCGACUAGAGUGCGGAAGGGGCAACUGGAAUUCUUGGUGUAGCGGUGAAAUGCGUAGAUAUCAAGAGGAACACCUGCGGCGAAGGCGGGUUGCUGGGCCGACACUGACGCUGAAGCGCGAAAGCCAGGGGAGCGAACGGGAUUAGAUACCCCGGUAGUCCUGGCCUUAAACGAUGAAUGCUUGGUGUCUGGGGUUAUAAAGUCCCCGGGUGCCGUCGCUAACGCUUUAAGCAUUCCGCCUGGGGAGUACGGUCGCAAGACUGAAACUCAAAGGAAUUGACGGGGACCCGCACAAGCGGUGGAGCAUGUGGUUUAAUUCGACGCAACGCGAAGAACCUUACCUGGGCUAGAAUGCCUCUGACAACCCUAGAGAUAGGGCCUCCAAGGUAAAACUUGGCAGAGUGCAAGGUGCUGCAUGGCUGUCGUCAGCUCGUGUCGUGGGAUGUUGGGUUAAGUCCCGCAACGAGCGCAACCCUUAUCUUUAGUUGCCAGCAUUAAGUUGGGCACUCUAGAGAGGCUGCCGUUGACAAAACGGAGGAAGGUGGGGAUGACGUCAAGUCCUCAUGGCCUUUAUGUCCAGGGCUACACACGUGCUACAAUGGCCGGUACAAACCGCCGCAAACUCGCAAGAGGGAGCCAAUCGGAAAAAGCCGGUCUCAGUUCGGAUUGGAGUCUGCAACUCGACUCCAUGAAGUUGGAAUCGCU